AUUGAACGCUGGCGGCAGGCCUAACACAUGCAAGUCGAACGGUAACAGGAAGACGCUUGCUUCUUUGCUGACGAGUGGCGGACGGGUGAGUCAUGUCUGGGAAACUGCCUGAUGGAGGGGGAUAACUACUGGAAACGGUAGCUAAUACCGCAUAACGUCUCAAGCCCAAAGAGGGGGACCUUCGGGCCUCUUGCCAUCGGCUGUGCCCCGAUGGGAUUAGCUAGUAGGUGGGGUAACGGCUCACCUAGGCGACGAUCCCUAGCUGGUCUGAGAGGAUGAACAGCCACACUGGAACUGGGACACGGUCCAGACUCCUACGGGAGGCAGCAGUGGGGAAUAUUGCACAAUGGGCGCAAGCCUGAUGCAGCCAUGCCGCGUGUAUGAAGAAGGCCUUCGGGUUGUAAAGUACUUUCAGCGGGGAGGAAGGGAGUAAAGUUAAUACCUUUGCUCAUUGACGGUACCCGCAGAAGAAGCACCGGCUAACUCCGUG
rnacentral:rRNA from 1 species